rnacentral:rRNA from 1 species
GAUGAACGCUAGCUACAGGCUUAACACAUGCAAGUCGAGGGGAAACGACAUCGAAAGCUUGCUUUUGAUGGGCGUCGACCGGCGCACGGGUGAGUAACGCGUAUCCAACCUGCCCAUCACUUGGGAAUAACCUUGCGAAAGUAAGACUAAUACCCAAUGAUAUCCCACGAAGGAAUCGGAAUGGGAUUAAAGAUUUAUCGGUGAUGGAUGGGGAUGCGUCUGAUUAGCUUGUUGGCGGGGUAACGGCCCACCAAGGCAACGAUCAGUAGGGGUUCUGAGAGGAAGGUCCCCCACAUUGGAACUGAGACACGGUCCAAACUCCUACGGGAGGCAGCAGUGAGGAAUAUUGGUCAAUGGGCGAGAGCCUGAACCAGCCAAGUAGCGUGCAGGAAGACGGCCCUAUGGGUUGUAAACUGCUUUUAUAAGGGAAUAAAGUGGGUCACGUGUGACUUUUUGCAUGUACCUUAUGAAUAAGGACCGGCUAAUUCCGUG